rnacentral:rRNA from 1 species
GACGAACGCUGGCGGCGUGCUUAACACAUGCAAGUCGAACGGUAAGGCCCUUCGGGGUACACGAGUGGCGAACGGGUGAGUAACACGUGGGUGAUCUGCCCUGCACUUCGGGAUAAGCCUGGGAAACUGGGUCUAAUACCGGAUAGGACCCUGGGAUGCAUGUCCUGGGGUGGAAAGCUUUUGCGGUGUGGGAUGGGCCCGCGGCCUAUCAGCUUGUUGGUGGGGUGAUGGCCUACCAAGGCGACGACGGGUAGCCGGCCUGAGAGGGUAACCGGCCACCCUGGGACUGAGUUACGGCCCAGACUCCUACGGGAGGCAGCAGUGGGGAAUAUUGCACAAUGGGCGCAAGCCUGAUGCAGCGACGCCGCGUGAGGGAUGACGGCCUUCGGGUUGUAAACCUCUUUCAGCACCGACGAAGCGCAAGUGACGGUAGGUGCAGAAGAAGGACCGGCCAACUACGUGCCAGCAGCCGCAGUAA